AAAGCUUUAUAGUUUAUUGUGUAGCUUUGAGGGAUCUUGGCAUUUUUGGUAUUGAAUUGAUGUUUUGUUUUUAUGAAAUGGCCGUUAUUAAUGUUUGAUGAUUUAUGUUGUCUUGACACUAACUGGCUUCCAUGGAGCCUUAAUUUCUUUAGGCAUUGAAAGAACAUGACACCUUAAUUUUCAGUAAAUUGUAUAUUUUUAAUAAUUUUAGAUAAUGUUUACUUUCUUCUUAGUACAAUGCAUACCUCUUCUCCCAUGGUAUAGAGGCAACUUGUAUUUAUGAAAAGAAAACAGUUGCCCAGAAAACAUUUAUUGUCUGCGUGAUAUUGAAGAAUUUAUAAGGGUUUAAGGGUUGGAUGGAACAAUAGUGUCUCAGGAGUGUUUUAUUGUUGUGGGCAUUGUCAAAUUUCACUGGAUUAGUGACGAGGCAUUGGGCUGUAGUGUAUAUAUGGGUAGUUAACAUAAUUAUCUUGUAAGUUGUAAUAUGCACUUGUUGAAACAUUAAUACUGUACACACACUACUUAUACAUUUAUAAAUGCUAGUCACAAUUAUAUAAUUGAUGAAUAAUUAGCAGAAUUUAAUAUAUUUUUUUUUAUAUACAUUUGAUUUGAAUUUGUGUUGUUUUUCUUAGAUGUUUUUUAUAAUGUUGAGUGUAGUGUAAUCUUAACAGCAAUUGUGUUUUCAAAAUUUUGACAGCAUUGUCAAACAAAGUUUGGUAAUAUUGAAUAGCAUUAGGAUCAUACAUAUAUUUGUGCUCUGUUUUCCUUCAUAGCAAUUUUGUUUCUGUCAUUCUAUGGGAUUUUAAAUCUACUGUGAAGUAUAUAACAUUUUCUGUCUUUACAUAAUACGAAAAGGAUCAAGGAUCAGACUUAGUGCUUAGAAAGUACAGCUAGUAUUUAGAGGAGUAUAAGGAACCAUGACAGAUCAUUCAUAGCAUCACAGAACUCAUAGAUGAGCAUGUAUAGUUUAUAUUUACAAGUAGGUCCUUCCGAUACUGUAAGGUGCUUACAGACAGAACAACCAGUGUUCCUUCUUUGAUCUCAAAAUAUUAAUUUUGUUUUCAUUUAGUUAGGGUCUAAGAUUAAAAAAAUAUAUUGUGUUAAAAUAAGCAAAAAAUCAUGAAUGUAUUUAAAGUAUAUCUUGUACUACUUAUGGCAAACAUAUACCUAAUCUUAUGCAAUGUUACAUAAGUAUUGUGAUUGCAUUUAGUGUCAGAAAGUUUAUAUUCUGAGAUCUGUUAAUCUAUUUGUGUAGAGGAUCACAACUUUGAAAUGUUUCUCCUCUGGAAUGUUUUUAUUUUUAUGCACCUGUUUUAUUUAUAGCACUAACGCAUUUCAAUUGAAAUUUAUACAACGAUAUAAAAAUAUAAACGUAUACACAACUUGGGUAACAGAAUAUUUAUAGAUUGUAUAUUGCAUGUAUUUACUAUAUAGUUGAUAUUGACAGGCAGUACCGUUUUGGCAUUAGUUAUUUAGUCUGACUUGGUUGUAUCAUAGAACCAUCUCACCAUUUUAUUUGUACGGUUGUUAGUCACUCAGUAUCAAAGAUACAGGUUUAAAUUCCACUUUAAGGUUGUGUCAUUAGACACUUUAUCUGACAUAACAACCAUAGGUCUACAUUUAUAAGAUUGAGUUUCGUUUAACUUAAAUUCAAUACAUGUAUUGAUUGUACCUGGCUAGUUUUAAAAAAAAAAUAUCAUUAACCUUUAAAGGUUAUUUUCUGAAAUAUUUUGUUUCAUCUUGCAAAAGUGAAAUCUGAACUGAUUGGAAAUAUUGGACAUGUUGCUCUACAUUUUUCAUCAUGUUGGUUUUAUUUGUUGUGAAUUUUACUAAAAUUCUAAUAUUUUCCCACGGAAAACAAAAUGAAAGUGUUAAAUCAUAAACUGUGACAGUGUGGUUGUAUUAACAACAGAACUUGGGGAUUUUCAAUUUCUGAAGUUGAAAAAAAAUCAUUUUGAAUUUACUUGUUUCAUAAAAGAACGAAGUGCCUUAAUGAAUACAUUACUGAUGUGAUAUUGUUAAUAAAUAACACUGAAAAAGU
rnacentral:misc_RNA from 1 species